rnacentral:misc_RNA from 1 species
CAGAAGGAUCCGAGUGUCCUGCGUG